AUACGGAGGAUCCGAGCGUUAUCCGGAUUUAUUGGGUUUAAAGGGAGCGUGGGUGGAUUGUUAAGUCAGUUGUGAAAGUUUGCGGCUCAACCGUAAAAUUGCAGUUGAAACUGGCAGUCUUGAGUACAGUAGAGGUGGGCGGAAUUCGUGGUGUAGCGGUGAAAUGCUUAGAUAUCACGAAGAACUCCGAUUGCGAAGGCAGCUAACUAGACUGUUACAGACACUGAUGCUCGAAAGUGUGGGUAUCAAACAGGAUUAGAUACCCUGGUAGUCCACACAGUAAACGAUGAAUACUCGCUGUUUGCGAUAUACAGUAAGCGGCCAAGCGAAAGCAUUAAGUAUUCCACCUGGGGAGUACGCCGGCAACGGUGAAACUCAAAUGAAUUGACGGGG
rnacentral:rRNA from 1 species